GGGGGUAUAGCUCAGUAGUAGAGCAUUUGACUGCAGAUCAAGAGGUCCCUGGUUCAAAUCCAGGUGCCCCCU
rnacentral:tRNA from 2 species